rnacentral:tRNA from 1 species
GGACAACCCCGAAAUCGGCACCUGACCAAACUCUUAAUCAGCGGGUCCUAGGUUCGAGCCCUAGUGCGUCCACCA